rnacentral:rRNA from 1 species
UACGUAGGGUGCAAGCGUUGUUCGGAAUUACUGGGCGUAAAGGGCUCGUAGGCGGCCAACUAAGUCGGACGUGAAAUCCCCAGGCUCAACCUGGGAACUGCGUCCGAUACUGGAUGGCUUGAAUCCGGGAGAGGGAUGCAGAAUUCCCGGUGUAGUGGUGAAAUGCGUAGAUAUCGGGAGGAACACCAGUGGCGAAGGCGACUACCUGGCCUGUUCUUGACGCUGAGGCGCGAAAGCUAGGGGAGCAAACGGG